CCAACCAGCCACCAGGCAGGCACCUCUGCACUGCUCCUCUGUUUCUUCUUUCCUUCCCUCUGAAUCCUCCCCUUCCUAUUCCUCCAGCUAGUCUCUUCUUUAUGUCGGAGCCUUCCUCCUCAGAUCUCCUUCCUCCAGUUUGAAGCCCUGGGCCCAGCUGGCCACAUCUGUCCCACUGCGGGCCCUGAACUGUCGAACUGUCGCUUGUUUCUCCAGUUUGUCGAAGGUUGCAGACAUUAAUUCCUGUGCAUCUCUCUUAUGGCCCGACCACAGCAUUUCUGACCCUGAAGAUCAAAGCCUGAGUUGACAAAGACGCAUCAUUACCAAACUUCUCUGAUCCGAGUUUCAGGUUGCGUUGGAACAGAAUCUUGGGGGAUUAGAAAGCUGCUAACAUGUCCCAGAAAGACCUAAACAAAAAGCCUUACUUGAAAAGAUUGUAAAAAGCUGGGCUUCAAGUGCAAUAACCUGUCCGUUUUUGUUUUUUUUUUGCUAAUUACUCUAUGUAAUGUGAUGGAGUUUAUAGAAAGGUUUUAUAUUUUAUGUAUAAAAGUACUGAAUCCUGCAAGAUUUUCAGGUGUUAAACUACUGAGAUCUACAGGUCUAAAAAGUGUAUGUAAUACUGUUUUAUUUCAAAAUCCUUUCCACUAUUACUGUGAGAGAAGAUGAUUUUUUAAAAGGAAAUCCAACCAAAAAGAUUUUGAACACUCAGUUUAUUAAGCUCAGAUUUUAUCAAAUAUGUUAUUUUUUUCAACAACUUUUCCUUCAUUUCAUGUAUUAUGUUGAUCAAGUUCUCAGUAGACAGGACUAAGUAAAAAAAUAAUCCACUUUUAAUAUUUUAUCUGCAUCAGUCCAGCUUGGUAUAGCAAAUAUGAUUUUUCACAUUUGAAUGUAAUUUUAGGUCCAUAUAUAUUAUUAACAUGCUCAUAUGCAUUUUCCCAAUGUGUAAUUAUAAUUUGACGCCCCAACAAAUGGAAGUGAUUGGCACCUUUGCUCCUUUUUAACAGGGUGUCAUGGCUGGUUGUUUCUCAUUUGAAUUGCACAGGAUUCAUGUCACAUUAAAGUUUGGA